AUGAAUUGUGUAAGUUGGAACUGUCGGGGGGUGGCCAACAAACCGACAGUUCGCGAGCUAGUUGGCAUGGUGAAAGAAACACAGUCGAAGUUAGUUUUUCUUUGUGAGACAAGACAGUGUUCUGAAAAGGUCAGUCGUUUGCGUGGUAGAUUAGGGUUACGAGGCUUUCAUGGAGUCAACAGUGAUGGGUUGAGUGGAGGGCUUGCCCUCUUUUGGUGUGAUAGUCUG
rnacentral:rRNA from 1 species